GACGAACGCUGGCGGCGUGCCUAAUACAUGCAAGUCGAGCGGACCACUUCGGUGGUCAGCGGCGGACGGGUGAGUAACACGUGGGCAACCUGCCUGUAAGACUGGGAUAACACCGGGAAACCGGUGCUAAUACCGGAUAAUCCUUUCCUUCACAUGAGGGAAAGCUGAAAGACGGUUUCGGCUGUCACUUACAGAUGGGCCCGCGGCGCAUUAGCUAGUUGGUGAGGUAACGGCUCACCAAGGCAACGAUGCGUAGCCGACCUGAGAGGGUGAUCGGCCACACUGGGACUGAGACACGGCCCAGACUCCUACGGGAGGCAGCAGUAGGGAAUCUUCCGCAAUGGACGAAAGUCUGACGGAGCAACGCCGCGUGAGUGAUGAAGGCUUUCGGGUCGUAAAACUCUGUUGUUAGGGAAGAACAAGUACAAGAGUAACUGCUUGUACCUUGACGGUACCUAAUCAGAAAGCCACGGCUAACUACGUGCCAGCAGCCGCAGUAAGAC
rnacentral:rRNA from 1 species